UCCCCAGUCAAGAGCCAAUCAGAAGAAAAAAGGAGGCGAAGACUUCGCCGUCUGGCGUUCAAAAAUGCCACCUCGUAAGGAUGGGAAGAUAGAAAGAAAAUGGGGGUUGGGACUAACGUUUGACGUCUUCAGCCAAAUAAUGUGUUCUGGCCCUACGUUCCUUAUUGGCUGGACCAAAGGACGAGCGAUUUCACAGAGAAAAGUGUUACAUGUCUCCAGAUGGGGCAGAAGGAAUUCAACAAGGCCCUUCAACAUGAAAGUCGAGCUUGACAUCUGUCAAAGGCACUCCUUUACAAAUAGAUACACCGUCCACAGCCUUGACACAAACUCAACUGUGGGAUAGAAAAGGCCACCACAGUCUGUAAAAACAAUAGAGGGUUUUUUCUUCCGCACGGCCACCUACUUCAUCUGAUUGCCAACUUGAUAAAUCUUUCCAGUCAUUGCGAGAGUUAUAUCGUCUUGUGAUUGAGGGACGGAUUUGCCUUUCCCUUGGACGACCUUGCUUUGCAGUUACUUCACUCGGCACAUUUAAGGCGCAUCGAGGAAUUACCGUGCAUCUAAUAGCUUCUAACACCGUUCCCUGAUUCCAUUCUCAACCCUUAAUAACAGUUCCCUACCUUUUUUAUUUCCGUUUAAGUCGUGAACACACGCUGAAACAAGAUUUCUGUACAUUCCACCGGUUCGAAAAUAGAACGAAUGAUAUUUAUUUGAUUGUUAUGCAUGUAAAAAAUAUAUCCGUUUCAUAACUAA